UUGUUCUGGGUAUAAGCUUUCGUAUGCAUGCACACUUCUUCUGAUAUCUUCAGUGUGCAUGCACAUGAAAGCUUAUACCCAGAACAA